UUCCACGCAUGCCAUGAAUGAGUCAAAGUAACAAAGGAAAAACUCACAUUCAAAACAUGAGUUAAAUGAAUAAAGAACACAUCAUCUCCUCUCCUCUUAGUUCAGUUCCUCCCGCCGACGUGCCAGAGGCGCUCCUAAAUUCAAAUCAAGAACCACACUUAACUUAGUUCUUCGCGCUGAGUCCAAAUAUACUAAUGGAAACUCCUAAUUCAUCAUGAGUUGCUUGGAUCGAAAUGAAAUAAGGAAGAAUCCUAACUCUGAGAAGUUAAAUUAAAUGGCGCACAUUCACAGAUUCACGCUCAAACAUUAGGGCUAAUGAUGCCAAGAACAUUCUCUACACAACGGUAACAAAAUCAUGGCAAGCGGAAGAGAAGGAAGAUUUACCCCCGAAAUGGAGAAUUGUUCCGGCGAAGGUUAAAUCAGAGAAGACGAAGACGCAACUGAAAAUCACUUAAAAACAGGCCAUGGUCAAUUGAAUAAGUGCAAGGCAAUUUUAUGAGUUAGGGCAAUGUUAUCAUGGAGUUGUUGAUGGAAUGUUAUGCAUUGGAUGAGCUUUGGAUGCUAGAAGUAAAUGACUUAGUGUUGCUCUGACUUAGGAUUAUGGUGGAUAUUGAAUGAUGUAAUUUGUAAGAUGAAUGUUCAAUUAAAUUUGGUUGAAUGUAUGAAAUAUGAAUGUCAUUUAGUUCUAAUGGUUGAAUGUGAUUCGGGUGAAAUGGUAGUCAUUUUGAAUGUAA